UUAGCUAUGAUGGAAAGAUUUGAGACAGGUGUCAGAAGAAGAGCUAGAUACUGAGCUUGCGAAGGUAAGCAAGUGCACAUCAAGCAAGGGAGCAGGAGGGAGGUUGAUAGAGAUGCGCAGCAGCAUAUAAGAGCGUUUCAAUCCCCACUUCCCAAAAUGGCUUCCACACUCUGCUCCUCUUCCACUUGUACACCAACACCAUCGUCCCUUUUCUCCUCCUUCACGCUACGACGUCGUUUGCCCCUCGUCGGAGCCUUUUGCAUGCUCAGUUUGGGACUCUCUAAUCUCUACACCCCCUCGUAUUCCUCUGCCCUCAAAACGGGGUGCGUUCUGUCUCUCUUGCGGUAUUCGCUGUUCCGUCUUCGUAACAUCGUCCACUUUCUCUUCCUUUCUCUCUCCAUUGAGUUCAAUUCAAUUGCCUUCACGUGCGUUGGUGGUUGUGCAGGUAAGAAGUUGGCUGAAAGCAUUGCCACAGAGAAGCUUGCAGCUUUUGUGAACAUUGUACCGGGUGAGAAUUUCCCACUUGAGAUCUGUUAUAAUCACUCACAACACACUGCAACUUUGUGUAUCUAAUGGUUUAAAAUUAGUAAUAUCUGGGAGGGGUUUGGUACUUCUAGAUAUUAAUUGUAGUAACAGAGUACUUUUUCUAAUUAUGUUAUUUUUUGUGAUUUUGUCCCUGGAUUUGAAUUGAUUUGAUAAAUACUUGAUUCUGGACAACGAGAACGAACAACAAAUGUGCUUGCCAUUGCAUAACAGUUAACUACUAAUAAUGUAUUGGGCUGUGUACUGUCUUGAGUUAGAUUUUUGUUUUAAAUGAAAUAGCAAGCUCCGGAAUAAAAAAAAAUUGCUUGUAUUAUGGGUUACUUUGUUUGCAUAUACCAAUCAAUGUAGACGUCCCUCUUUUUUUUAUGUUCACUUGAUCACUUAAAUUGAACGUGAUUCUAUUAAUCGAAAAUAGUUUCUCUGAUUGAAAAUAUUUUGAAUAUUUUUAGUUACCUUCACGCGUGGCCAGAACUUCUUUUUGCAUUCUUUGUAAUGCCACAUGUAGGUAACCAAGACUUGAAUGAAUUCCACCACUUGACAAGUUUUCUUCACUUUUAGUUUAUAUACUUGUUUCACUUAUGGUGUGUGUGACCAUGUCCACCAGUGGCAUUGUUCUGGUAGGGUGGAAAAGGCCAGUUUUGAUAUGGUCUUGACUAGAGCUGCUUAAGGUCUCUUGAUCACAAGAAAUUGGCAUAACAGUUAGAAAUAAACAAGCGCUCUUCUAAUUGUGAAAAUAAAACUAAAGAGGGAUACCCAAAAAGCUGGUGGGCAAUUGCAAGAGCAGUAGUUGUUUUUCUUCUUCAGUCCAUCUUUCAUACUGCUCUUUUCACCAUGUUUCUCUUUAAAUAGUUUAAAAGUCAGACUCCAUCUGUUUAUACUUGCUGCAUGUGUGAUUUUCCUCUAAGUACAUCAGAUACACUCAAAAUAUUAUAAGAUAUUUUAAGAAGUGAUAGAAGUCACAUUCUAUUAUGCACUAUCUUAUGUAUCC
rnacentral:lncRNA from 1 species